rnacentral:rRNA from 1 species
UCGGGAAUUUUGGGCAAUGGGGGAAACCCUGACCCAGCAACGCCGCGUGAAGGAUGAAGUUUUUCGGAAUGUAAACUUCGUAAGAAUAGGAAGAAUAAAUGACGGUACUAUUUGUAAGGUCCGGCUAACUACGUGCCAGCAGCCGCGGUAAUACGUAGGGACCAAGCGUUGUUCGGAUUUACUGGGCGUAAAGGGCGCGUAGGCGGCAAUUCAAGUCAGCUGUGAAAUCUCCGGGCUUAACUCGGAACGGUCAGCUGAUACUGCUUUGCUAGAGUGCAGAAGGGGCAAUCGGAAUUCUUGGUGUAGCGGUGAAAUGCGUAGAUAUCAAGAGGAACACCUGAGGUGAAGACGGGUUGCUGGGCUGACACUGACGCUGAGGCGCGAAAGCUAGGGUAGCAAACGGGAUUAGAUACCCCGGUAGUCCUAGCCCUAAACGAUGAAUACUUGGUGUCUGGAGUUUUUAUCCUCCGGGUGCCGUCGCUAACGUUUUAGUAUUCCGCCUGGGGAGUACGCACGCAAGUGUAG